rnacentral:misc_RNA from 1 species
AAAGGGCAAUAUGGUCAAUUCACCAUUAGAGGUGACUAUUGGCCUAAAUGUCCAUUAAAAUUUAGGAAAUUAAAAUUAUGAAAAAUUAGAUUAAAGGUGAAGAAGUGUAUGGAAGAAAUGAAAAAAAAAAAAGAAAAAUUCAAAUUAAAGGGGUUAUAACAACAUCAUAGUGAUGUAAGCAUGACCCAAUUAAUAUUAUAAUUUUAAAUUAUGAAAAAUUGGGGAUAAUUAUCAUUAAAAUGAGACAAAAUUAAAAAGAAAACAAAUCAUCUUCUUCAACCAAAAGUGGCCGGCCAUCUCUCUCAUCCCUCUCCCAUUUUAUUUCCUCUAUGGAUGAAUGUUUUGGGCUCUAGAAACCCAAGUUUUACACCAUAAAACCCAUGACUUCCUUAACAAAAAUUUGAUACUCAAGCUAGACAAGAAGGUUGGGAGCAAGGAAGAUUAAGAAGGAAAUGAAGAAUUGAAGGGACAAGUUUGCUCAAUUAAGGUUAAGGGUCCUAUGAGCUUAAACUGAAUAUAUAUGUGUUGAAUUGCUCUUAGAGUGUGGGAAAAUUAACUUAAGAAUUGAAAAAUCAUGCAUGGGACUCAAGCUAUGAAUUUCGGUCAGCCAUGAAACAUUAGGGUUUUGAGGUGUUUCAUUUAAAUUGAGCUUGAAUUCUACCUUAGUUAAGAAUGUAUAUAAGAUUUAUAAGUUGAGAUUUGUAUGAAUUUACAUAAAUUGUGAAAUUGUGAAGAUGAGGCUCCAGUUAGACAAGUUGAGCACAUUAGGUUAGAGGAUAG